UACGAAGGGGGCUAGCGUUGCUCGGAAUCACUGGGCGUAAAGGGUGCGUAGGCGGGUUUUAAGUCAGGGGUGAAAUCCUGGAGCUCAACUCCAGAACUGCCUUUGAUACUGAAGAUCUUGAGUCCGGGAGAGGUGAGUGGAACUGCGAGUGUAGAGGUGAAAUUCGUAGAUAUUCGCAAGAACACCAGUGGCGAAGGCGGCGACCUGGGCCAAUAUUGACGCUGAGGUGGCGAAAGCGUGGGGAGCAAACAGG
rnacentral:rRNA from 1 species